UGAGUCUCGUAGAGGGGGGUAGAAUUCCAGGUGUAGCGGUGAAAUGCGUAGAGAUCUGGAGGAAUACCGGUGGCGAAGGCGGCCCCCUGGACGAAGACUGACGCUCAGGUGCGAAAGCGUGGGGAGCAAACAGGAUUAGAUACCCUGGUAGUCCACGCCGUAAACGAUGUCGACUUGGAGGUUGUGCCCUUGAGGCGUGGCUUCCGGAGCUAACGCGUUAAGUCGACCGCCUGGGGAGUACGGCCGCAAGGUUAAAACUCAAAUGAAUUGACGGGGGCCCGCACAAGCGGUGGAGCAUGUGGUUUAAUUCGAUGCAACGCG
rnacentral:rRNA from 1 species